AUUGAACGCUGGCGGCAUGCUUUACACAUGCAAGUCGAACGGUAACAGGCCGCAAGGUGCUGACGAGUGGCGAACGGGUGAGUAACGCAUCGGAACGUGCCCAGUCGUGGGGGAUAACUGCUCGAAAGAGCAGCUAAUACCGCAUACGACCUAUGGAUGAAAGCGGGGGACCGUAAGGCCUCGCGCGAUUGGAGAUGCCGAUGUCAGAUUAGGUAGUUGGUGGGGUAAAGGCUCACCAAGCCAACGAUCUGUAGCUGGUCUGAGAGGACGACCAGGCACACUGGGACUGAGAAACGGCCCAGACUCCUACGGGAGGCAGCAGUGGGGAAUUUUGGACAAUGGGGGCAACCCUGAUCCAGCAAUGCCGCGUGCAGGAAGAAGGCCUUCGGGUUGUAAACUGCUUUUGUACGGAACGAAACGGUCUGGGUUAAUACCCUGGGCUAAUGACGGUACCGUAAGAAUAAGCACCGGCUAACUACGUGCCAGCCGCCGCCGUAAUAC
rnacentral:rRNA from 1 species